rnacentral:lncRNA from 1 species
UCCCCUAAAACCCCCUGAAUGCUUCUUAAUAGUCUCAGCCACCACAUGAGACCUCUACCGCUACUACACUAUUCUCUCAGGCUAUCAUGACCUUUUGUAGACCAAAGAAUCACUCUAGCUUGAAAACAAUCCUUCAAAAGGACUCCACUACCUUUUUUAGCCAUUGGAUCUUGACUGCUCGCAUCCUGACCCUCAGAUCAUGCAAAAUAUAGCCC